CCCACCUCCUCUCUGACUCUGUCGCUAGCCCUGUGUGUAUGCUCAGUGCAGAAUAUGCAGCGUACUUCCUGCCACACAGGACAUUUUGCGCAGCCUGAAAUACGCUGCGUUAGCGCUACGUGGGACCGUAUCUCUAUAGAGCAGAGUCGGGGCCCCUUACGGGAGAUCAAAGGAGGUCCAAGUGGUUGAACCCACCAAGAUCAGAUACUUAUCCCCAGCCUGCGUAUAGGGAAUAAACUUUUUUUCACUGACAUCUUCUUUAGCUAUUAAGUUGCAUGAAAUCUUGUGGACUACAGCUGUCACUUGAUAAAAUCAAGUAGUGGCCCUAGUAGUUUUCCUGUGUCCCAGGCCUAAUUGACAACUGGGCGUUACCCUUCACCUUGUCUAUGAGAUGUUUCCCUACAAAGUCUGAAAGCUGGACUCUGCCAGACUGUUUAGGGACACAGCCAAACUGUUUAGGGACACAGCCUUUUGACACAAAUAAAACAGGUGGAACAACAGAGGAUUGACACAAUGCAGAGUUUUAUGAAAACAUGCUCCAAGAUUUGUUACUAAACCAGACAUGUCAGAAGAGGUGGCAGGUCCUUUAUAAUCCUUUUGUAUUCCUGUGACUGAUCUGAUCAGUGCUGUAUUCUUUCCUAUUAUCUGCAGGGUGAUAAUAUUCUGCAGAGCUCCUGUACGGUGAAAGGAUCUGCUGCUACUCCUGCCCCUGGCAUAUAGUGCCCUGGUUCCACCUUGGUUUGCGUAACCUUCCCUGGCGCCAGGAGAGUGUCUCCCUCAUAGGAAAAGAUGACAGACAAGUAGGACAAACAAUGAACAGCAGCACAAAGAAGGCAUUAGCUGGCACCGCUACCACCAACCUGAAUAUGGCCAAAUGCUGACUGCUCCGCUACACCGUAAACCAAAGCCGCUUGUCCGUCAUGCUGAUAAAGUGAUGCCCGGUCCUAUAAUGUAGAACAUGCAGAAAGUCCAAACAUAGAACAGAAAGGACGGCAACUCACUUAGAAGAUCCAAUGCAGCUUUAUUCUUCAGGACAAAUACAGUUUUUGCAUGAUCCUCUUCCUCCAUAUCUUUCAAAUGAUGUCACUGAAAAUCUCUUGCCAUCACAUCGAAUGCACAGGUCUUUCGACGAGUCUACAAAAAGAUAUUGGAUGAAUAAAUGUAAAGUCUUAGUAAGUACAUAGGCAAUUUUUUGGGCUACAUUUUCAUAUAUAUAGAAAUGGGGGUUUGUAUCUAAUGUAGAUUUUUUUUUCUAGUUACCAUAGUUUGCUCAUUCCACUUACUCUGGUUGUCCUUUUUUGAACCUGCUUUACCUCUACCAUGACUUGUUGGCAAAAACUGUAAACAAUAUAUAAUGUGCAGUCUAUUUGUAUGUCGUUUGCAUCUAUGCCCCCUUUGAUGCACCCAUGAUCUUAUUUGCCUUGGAAGCAGCUGCCUGACACUGGUCACUACAGUCCUAAGUUCUUUUCCAAUUCAGCUUUACUCAGUGUUUUUCAAUUAGUAGGUAAUACCGGCAUGGAUUUUGCCUUACCAUUCGUAGUAUUAAUGGUACAGCUACUAUCCUAAGAAAGUUGACAAGAGUCAAAAGAUUUUGGUGCACUCUUGUGGACAUGUC